rnacentral:rRNA from 1 species
GAUCCUGGCUCAGAACGAACGUUAGCGGCGCGCCUAACACAUGCAAGUCGAGCGAGAAGGAAGCAAUUCCUGUAAAGCGGCGCACGGGUGAGUAACACGUAGGUAAUCUACCUCGAAGUGGUGGAUAACCUUCCGAAAGGAGGGCUAAUACAGCAUGAGACCACGGUUUCGAAAGAGAUUGAGGUCAAAGCGGGCCACUAUACAUAAGCUCGCGCUUCGAGAUGAGCCUGCGGCCCAUCAUGGUAGUUGGUAGGGUAAUGGCCUACCAAGCCGAAGACGGGUAGCUGGUCUGAGAGGAUGAUCAGCCACACUGGAACUGAGACACGGUCCAGACUCCUACGGGAGGCAGCAGUGGGGAAUCUUGCGCAAUGGCGAAAGCCUGACGCAGCGACGCCGCGUGAGUGAUGAAGG